CCCUUGUCCCCCUCCCUGUCCCGUCCCCCCCAGCGUCCCCGGGGGGGGGUGACAGCGGUGGCGGUCACAAUAAACUCGCGUGGCCCCCCCACGGCGUGAGCGUUGUGUCCUUGUCACUGUCCCCAGCUUGGGGGGGGGGACGGGGACACCCGGGUGACAACGCGGCCGCAGCUUGGGGACAAAGGGCCACCCCCCCGCGGUGCCACCCGCGCCCCCCCCGGGGGCUUUAUUCAGCGUCACCUCACAGAGACACCCCCCCCCCCAAAAUGGGGCAAAAACCGCGGGAUUUGGGGCCGGGUGAUGUCACCACGGGGUGGGGGGGCGUCAGGGUGACGGUGACACCGCGGCGGUGGCACGGGGACAGUCGGGCACGGUGCCAGGUGCCACCCCCCCCCCCUCGGUGACAACGCCACCGCCUCCCGGUGUCACGACGUCCCCGUGUCCCCACGUCCUGGUGUCACGACAUCCAAGUGCCAUUGUCCCGGUGUCACGACGUCCCGGUGUCACGACGUCCCGGUGCCAUUGUCCCGGUGUCACGACGUCCCGGUGUCACGACGUCCCGGUGCCACAACGUCCCGGUGCCAUCGUCCCGGUGCCACGACCUCCCGGUGCCACAACGUCCCCCUGUCCCCACGUCGCGGUGUCACGACAUCCAAGUGCCAUUGUCCCGGUGUCACGAUAUCCCGGUGUCACGACAUCCCGGUGCCAUUGUCCCAGUGUCACGACGUCCCGGUGUCACGAUGUCCCGGUGUCACGACGUCCCGGUGUCACGAUGUCCCAGUGCCAUUGUCCCAGUGUCACGAUGUCCCGGUGCCACGACGUCCCCCUGUCCCCACGUCCUGGUGUCACGACAUCCAAGUGCCAUUGUCCCAGUGUCAUGACGU
rnacentral:lncRNA from 1 species